rnacentral:rRNA from 1 species
GUAGGGUCCAAGCGUUAUCCGGAAUCACUGGGCGUAAAGCGUGCGUAGGUGGUUUGUUAAGUGUGGUGUUAAAUCGUGGGGCUCAACCCUAUCGAUGCAUCGCAUACUGGCAGACUAGAGGACAGCAGAGGCAAGUGGAAUUUGUAGUGUAGCAGUGAAAUGCGUAGAUAUUACAAGGAACACCAAUGGCGAAGGCAGCUUGCUGGGCUACUCCUGACACUGAGGUACGAAAGCGUGGGGAGCGAACAGGAUUAGAUACCCUGGUAGUCCACGCCGUAAACGAUGCAUACUAGACGUAUGGGGUAUCGACCCCCUGUGCGUCGAAGCUAACGCGAUAAGUAUGCCGCCUGGGAAGUACGGCCGCAAGGCUA